rnacentral:misc_RNA from 1 species
AAAUGCGAUAAGUAAUGUGAAUUGCAGAAUUCAGUGAAUCAUCGAAUCUUUGAACGCACCUUGCGCUCCUUGGUAUUCCUUGGAGCAUGCCUGUUUGAGUAUCAUGAAAUCUUCAAAGUAAAUCUUUUGUUAACUCAGUUGGUUUCUACUUUGGUAUUGGAGGUCUUUGCAGCUUCACACCUGCUCCUCUUUGUUCAUUAGCUGGAUCUCAGUGUUAUGCUUGGUUCCACUCGGCGUGAUAAGUUAUCUAUCGCUGAGGACACUGUAAAAGGUGGCCAAGGUAAAUGCAGAUGAACCGCUUCUAAUAGUCCAUUGACUUGGACAAUACUUUUAUGAUCUGAUCUCAAAUCAGGUAGGACUACCCGCUGAACUUAAGC